UUCAUUGUCAUAUUAAAAAUAUACACCUAAGAUGCAAUUUCGAAAGAGUACAAUUUAAUAAUAUUGUAAGUUUAUAAACUUCUCUUAUGAAUGUGACUAGAGGUGACUAAUGAAUUGAUUAGACUGAUAAUAUGUAAUAAUUUUAGAUGGGUGGGUAAUUUUAAAUGGAUAUGAAUAAAACUCAUUAACCCAGAGGAGAAUUGUUUAUUAGUUACUUUUAACCCAAAUGUAUAGGUAGUGCAUUAAUACAGACUGUACUAUGCAAAAAAGCUAAUUAUAUUAUUAAGGACAUUUUAUUUAUUUAAUUAGUUAUAAUUCUAUGGAGGAACUUUUUCCUGUAGGUAAAUUAGGGGGAGCAGAGCAAGCACAGAUACAAGUAAAAUAAACAGAUUUAAGAAGAAUGUUGCAAGUAAUUUUACAAAUGAAAGAUGUAUUCUUAAUGAUUUAUAUGCAUACAUACAUUAAAAACUUGUACAACUCUGAAUUAUAUGUUAAAGAUAAAUGAUUUAUAUAUCAAUAAAUUUUUUAUGAAGUUAAAUUGGUAUUAACAUAAAUUUGUAGUGAUGUGUAACAAGACUAUAUUAAAAAG
rnacentral:lncRNA from 1 species